rnacentral:lncRNA from 1 species
ACUUAUCUGACCCCUCCCGCGGUCCCGCCGAAGCUCGGUGAUGUCAAUGGUGAUGCGCCUGCCUGGGUCCCCACAGAUACCGCGGCCCUUCGUCUGCGAAGAUUUAGCCAUGCGUCCCGGCAACAUGGUGGCGGUGGCAUGCCUGUAAACGCGUAGCCUACUGCCCCAGCCAGUUCUAGCGCGUAAGUUGGGAGGAGGGUAAUAACGGGCAUUGGGGCAAGCUGUGUCUGGCCGUGCAUGCACAGCACCCACCAGCACGAGGCAGCAGCCUGACAGGCUGCAUAUUGAGCCACUGCGGUGCGUCGUGGGCCUUUAUUGGCUGUGAAUUGCGAAGAGAUGCAUCGACGCUGGGACCGACUGAGAAGAAGCCCUGGUGGCGCCGCAGCGUGUGUGGCGUAACCCUCAAACACAUUGACCCACCUCACCCAAGGAGUCUUUCUCUGCUCCCGUCUCCCUCCCACUGGAUGUAUAGACGUUAUAUGGAAUGGUUCUUG